CUGCUAAAUACGUCAUGUUUCUAUGCAAUUCAAAGGCAGUGAAUUCUGGUUAAUCUUGAUUUUUACAUUCUUGCCGUUUCUAACAUAACUCAUGCAUUAUACUUAUUUGCUGCAGAUGUCUGUGUCUGAUCCCCCUGAUAUCAUACCUGUGCCGAAGCCUCGCUCGAGAUAUUUACGUGGAGUAGGUGUAGGUGAAAGAAAUGGUCUGUUGCCUUGUCCAGAUGUUAAGGCUGAUACACAGACGAAAUCUGAAGAAACUGACAUCAAGCAUGAAGUUAGUGUGGACGGUUCAUCUAGACAGCUGCGUUCCACCUCUGAACUCCCUGAUCCUCAAGAUGUUAAAACCAGCUGCAGUGAAACGCUUCCAUGGCCAGAAUCUCUCUGCAUUAGUACCAGUUCAUCUCCGGAUGCAGCAAGAGCUGCUGAUGUAGUGUCUUCUGAUGAUUGCCCUGCGACUCCAGACUCGCUCAGUAAUGACCAGCACGAUUCAGACAAAGCAAGUUUCACAGAUCAGGUGAUGGAUGUUCGGACAGAAAUUUGCACCAAUGGAGAGAUCCAGCAAGUUCCUAAAUCACAGGAUCUUCAGAACAAAGCUGACAGACCCAAUAAACCACGGGCUGCAACCAUUCGUGUGAGCAGGAAGAAGCAGACGUUAUCAGGGCAGCGCCAGAGAGCCGACGUGUCUCACAGUGAGUGUGCGGUGGCACAAUCCAGCUGGCUCGACGUAUGGAAGGGACGCAAGUAACUAACGCUACACAAUCCCUGAAAUCACAUAAAAACUUAAGAACUUCCUGCAGUAUAGGCAUUUAAAACGGC
rnacentral:lncRNA from 1 species